UUUUUUUUUCUAUAGUUGAAAACCCAACAAACAAACAUUUGUGGUUGACUAUUAUGCCACACAUUUCAUCGAAAUAUCUGUCCAUUCCUUGUAAAAGGCAUGAGAAUUUACUAAAUGGCACGAGCAUGGUUUUCCAGGCCGUUCCUGUGGACCCUUUCAUGCACCGAUUGUUUGAACUUGAAUUGUGUGCAUUAAUGCCUAGGAAAUGCACAUAAUCCCCUAAAUAUGGCAAAUGAACCCGGAAAAGUGCCAAAUUUGAACACAGUGAUUUGCAGGUUGUAUGUUCAUCAUAGAAAAAAACUCAUGGACAAAGGACAAAGGAAAUUUGGACCCCCCUUCAAUCUUGGUGAUUUCCCCCUCGAAACCAUGAAACUUCCUUGGUGAUGGUUCGUUUUAUGAAAGGCGUGCAUGACGAAAUUUUUACCAGGGCACGGUGAGGUCAUACCAUGGCACCACACCAGGCGUCAUGUUUUUCCAAGCAUGUAUUUCAAUUUUGUAUAGUUGUUAACCCAGUAAACGACGCGUUUAUGGUUGACUAUUGCCACACCUUUCCUUGAAAUAUCUGCCCAUUCCUUGUAAAAAGGAUGAGAAUGUACUAAAUAGCAUGAGCAUGGUUUUCCAGACCGUUCUUGUGCACCUUUUCAUGCACCGAUUGUUCGAAUUUGAAUUAUGUGCAUAAUUAAUGCCUAGAAAAUGCACAUAAUCCUCUAAAUAUGGUAAAUGAGUUCGGAGAAAUGUUAAAUUUCAAUACGUUGCAUUUGAGGCGGUAUGUUGAUCGUUGGAAAAAAACUGAAUGACAAACUAGGACGGAAAUUUGGAUUCCCCUUCAAUCUUGGUGAUUUCCCUCUCGAAAGCAUUGAACUUCCUCGGUGAUGGUUCGAUUUAUGAAGGGCAUGCAUGACGACAUAAAUCAAACCUUCUCAGCUUUUAACCAGGGCACGGUGAGGCCAUACCAUGGCUCCAUGCCAGCCGUCAUGUUUUUCAUGCACAUAUUUCAUUGUUCUAUAGUUGAUAACCCACGAGAUUAAUGCAUUUGUGGUUGACUAUUGCCACGCAUUCCAUUGAAAUCUCUGCCAAUUCCUUGUAAAAGGCUUGAGAAAUUACUAAAUACCAUGAGUAUGGUUUUUCUAGAUCCUUAUUGUGCACCCUUUCAUGCACCGAUUGUUUGAAUUUGAAUUAUGUGCAUUAAUGCCUACAAAAUGCACAUAAUCCCCUAAAUAUUGUAAAUGAACCUGGAAAAGUGUCAAAUUUGAACACGGUGAUUAGCAGGGUUUAUGUUCAUCGUAGAAAUUUGGAUUCCCAUUCAAUCUCGGUGAUUUACUACGCACACGAUUCAUCUCAGUCGCCUCUGCGGACCGUGUGUGUUCACUCACACAUGCAAAAGGAAAAGAAAACCCUCGCCCACUUCGUCCCCACUCACUCGCUGCGGACUCCUCCGCAACUCUGCACCCUAAGCUCGACGGCUGUUGGCGGCGGGCAUAGGUCGCGCUCCAAACGGCACCGGAUUUUGCCUCCAUCGCUUCCCGCCGCCUAUCUGCACCGACAUUCUAGACUCUGGUCGACUGGGGUUUUCGGCGGGAUUGGGCCGGGGAUUUUUCUCAUGGAGAAAGUAAUCAACUUAAUUAGUGAAAUAUUCACUCAUCUCUUAUCGCAGUCCGUCCGUCGCUGUUAAUCAACCGGCGGAAAUCGCCGUGGAAUCAUUUUUGUUCUAGCUGAUUCAUGGGUGUUCAUUCAUGUGUCCACAGUGCGAGCACAAAUAGGGCAACUGUGGUCGUGGCCAGUCGGAAACGAAGUUCUAUCUCACCAUUCCGGAUGACUUCAUGGAGCGCUCGGUAUGUUCAAUCUCAACCUACCACGGUCGGCAUGGCCUAAAUUUGUGAACAUAUACCGUCUGUUGCUACAUUAUCUAUAUAUUUGUAUCAAAUCUUUGUUACAUUCUCUAUUUUUAAUUCUAUAUUUUUGUACUUUGCUUUCAUAUAUAUAUAUAUAUAUGGAUCUGUUCUAUCAGUUACUCCCAUAUUUGCAUCUUGCUCUGUUAUUUCAAUAUAUCUAAUUUACGAUCUUAAUUUUCAUUUCAAGCAGUACAUCCCUUACUUUGCAAGAACAGGAGUACAAGGAAAUCUUGGGCUUUACUUUGCUGAUGACUCCCAGGAUGUCAUAUUGACAAUGCAGCAUGGAUUUACAAUGACGGUUAGCGUAAAACUUGAUAAACAUGGUCACUACUAUUUUAAUGCGGACCUUUGGAGAAAAAUGUCUAAGUGUUAUGAACUAAAAGUUGGCAAUAAAAUUCUAGUGCGUGCACCACAGCCUGGUCUAAUUAACAUGGAUGUUUACUUCCCCAACGUCAUCGGCCGAUCAAAGUAUGAUCGAGGUUAGUGUCCUUUCAACUUUCUCCUUGCUGUCAUAUUACUAUUUAAGCAACCAAUUGAUCACUAUUUAAGCAACCAAUUGUGAUAUCAUAUUCUGACUCCGUUCCAGGCAGUAACAAAUUCUAUUUACCAAUUUAUGCGCACUAUAUAUUCUUCUGCCAUGUUCGGAAUAAAUAAUACCUUUCCACCUUUUAAGCAGGAUAUGUUGGAUGCAUAGUGAACGAUCUGUAUGUUACUAAGCGUACCAAAUUUCACUGGAAGGACUUGAAGCAUGUCAUAAACUUUGUUGAUAAUCUGACAGAGAUAGCACAACGUAUGAAUGCUGGAUUUUGGAUGGGAUUAAUUAGACCUAUGGUGCACACACUAAACAAGACCAAUUGUGUGCACAAAACGCUGGUAAAAAGUCUUAUUUUAAUGUUGAUGCUCAUAAACUAUAUAUAUCUUCAAAGAUAUGUUACAAUUGUUUUUUAUUCUACAUGUCAACAGAAAUUGCCCCCUGUAGCAGUUCCUGGAUCGAUUUCCCGGCGUGGUCGAAAUUACACUUGUGCCUGCUAAUAAUGCCAAAGUGAUUGCAAGGUACCGCAUUUCCCGCAGAAAUGGAACCAUUCAAAUUAACAAGUUCUCGCUUCUCGUGGCAAUGCAUCCAUAUUGGAAAAUUGGAGACACUGUUCUACUCAUGAUCUACCAAGGCACAGGAGGGCUCUUCCUUUUCAUUGACGAGAUGUCGAGUCACCGUGAUCAAGCUCCUUCCAGUGGAUAGUUGUGGUUGUUGGCCCUCAGCCUCUUAAAAUGUGCUAGCUGUUACUAUAUAUGUUAAGUAUGUAGAUAUGGACCAUAUGGUUGUUGGCCCUUAGCCUCUUAAAAUGUGAUAGUUGUUACUAUGUUAAGUAUGUAGAUAUGGACCAUAUGAUUGUCAAAAACGUGUUACGAAGAUCCUCCUUUUGUCGAAUAGUGUAACUACUAUAUAUAUGUUACUCUAAUGUUGUACCUAAGUUCAUAAAUUUUAAUGGAAAGUAUUAGUAUCGUACAUAGUUCAUUGAGUUUAAGAGUGUGCCCGAUGACCAGAAGGCAUUUGCAUAUUAACUGUCCAUAUUGCAAAUUCACACACAUGUUAACAUAAGGAAACGUAUGUGUAACAUACUAAUCAUCGCACACGAGUACUCGCAGACGCAUCGUGUGCGAUACUCCGCCAUCGCAAGCAACUAGUUUGCAUUUUCAAAGUUUUUGUACACACAGAAUCGCACACGAAGUAACUGCAUUGACCGUCUGUGUUGUAAUUUCUCAUCGUAAACAGUUCAUCCGAGUCGGCUGUUUGCCACGUAUCACACACAUCUUGUUUACACGACUCGUUUGUGUUCUUUUGGCUCAUCGCAAACAGUUCAUCCAUGUGAACUGUAUGCCGCAUAUCACAUACAUCUUGUUAAGUUGAACCGUUUCUGUUGUGUUCCCUAAUCAAAAAUAGUUAGUCCAAGUUAACCGUAUGCCGCAUAUCGCACACACAUUGAUAUGGCUGCCCGUUUCUGUUGUUCUACCUCAUCGCAAACAGUUCGAAUGGAUUAACCGUGUGUCCUGCAUCGCACACACAUGUUAUAGCUGCCCAUUUCUGUUGUUCUGCCUCAUCGCAGAUAGUUUGAAUGGAUUAAUCGUGUGUCCUGCAUCGCACACGCAACUAAAAUCUAAACCGUGUUUGAUGGCUCCGCCAUUGCAAAUGUUUUGCACCUUUUUUGACGGUUUUUUACACCAUCAUUUGCGAUUAUUGCAUUGCACACAGUUUUGGCAAAGGGUCUCUGAUCGUAGUGUCGCGUUAGCAGUAACCUGCAGUAGUGCUUGGGGGCUACAUGUGCGAAAUUGAGCACUACUACUUAAAGUCCCGGCUUAACUUUCCAGUUUAAGCCAGCCCUUGGGAGCUACAUGUUCUUGCUUUGAGAUUACACAUUACUAUGGUAUGACUACAAGAUCAACAAGGAUAUUUAAGUCUACAACAUAUUCAAGUUUUUCAUAUUCAAUAGACUUGGCGGCUGACAGAUAUAUAUUUGUAUGAGAAAAGUUUUUUGCUUACCUCAAAACGAUCUUUCGUGAGAUUAACCAAGCGGGCUUCAAAGUCACGACUGGUGUGAAGGCGGUUCAAGUAACCCGCGUGAAGCUCCUGGGCAUUGAAUUGAGCAUAGCUCUCCAGAUCUAGUUUCCACUUGCCUUUGUCAGCAGCUGAGAAUUCCUCAUUGGCGCUGUGCUUGGACAAGACGGUGGGGUUACCUGGUGCUGUGUAAGCUGUCCUAGUAACUAUGACAUCUUCGAUUUCUUGAGCCGGCUGGGCGGGGCUGGGCGGCUUAGCAUUCUCUGGAUCAACGUUCAUGGGGUCCAUGGUGACAAGGUGCUCCUCUGGUGGCGGAUGGUCCAUGGCUGCUUCAGAAGUUUGAUGCAAAGACUCAGACAUUGUCUGUUUCUCCAGGUCAGCAACCUUGGGAUCUUCAGCCAGUUUAUUAACCUUCAGCUUCUUGCUGGGUUUGUCCAUAGCACUGAAAGUAAAAGAUAUGAUGAGGUUAGUAUACCAAUUGAGCAAGGUGUUAAAGUAAGCAGGAAAAAGUAUUCUCACCCAGGAACAGUCUUGAACAGAGGAACCUGAGUUCCAGUGGAGUCACCAGAUGAGGAGUGAGAUGUUCCCUGAUAGUUUGAGUCGGACGGGUUAAGUGGUUGACGAAUAAGACCCGCUUUUGGAAAAGAUAAGGAUGAAUUUUGUGGCACAUCGUUCCGGUGCUUUCGGGGAGCGGGGGUGUUUGGUAAGCCGGAGGAAAGGUUUCCACCUCCGCUAUUCUGGGUUGUCCAGCGAAGUUCGUGCUGUUGUUUCUUCAAAAGAAAGUUGGGAUCCAAAUAAGCUAAAGGGUGAGAAAAUCUUACUUUCCAGCUUGCUUGUAGAGUUUUCCAUCUCACCGGAGGUUCUGAGCCGGAAGAAAGAGUAAUUACCUCUUCAUCGUCAGCACGACUAGCCUCCGCGUCAUCCUGAAUUCCUGAUAGUGAUCAUUGUCAAUAAGAUGUACAAAAAAUGAGCCAAAGGGAGUCAAGUUCUACCUCCGACUCAUCAUGAUCAUCCAAGUUAAAUAACUCGGAGGGGGUGGUCUUCUUCUUGUCAGGCUUUUUAAGAGCCUUAUUCUUUGUCCGGGUCUUCUUGGCUGGCUUGUCUUGCAACUUCUUGUUCCAGAAAGGAGAAUCGGCCUGCGGAAAUUUAAAUGACUAUAAGAAGGCAGUUUAAAGUGAACAACUGAGUAAACCGGAAAUUGUUUGAAGUACUUACAGCUAGAGGUUUGUUAAGGGUGUAAAAAGGACUUAAGCCAGCCUUGCUGCAUUUUUCCAAGCUCUCGUUCAGCAGAGUCUUGGUCAUAUCAUUGAUAUCUUCAUCAGUCAGUUCAGUCUGACAGUGGCGCUGAGGGUCUUUGACAUUGCCAGUAUACUCACACAUUAAAUUGGAGCGGCGGCUUAAGGGCAAAAUUCUCCAGGCGACCCAGCAUCGAACUAGGUCGAUUCCAGUCAAACAGUUAGCCAUCAAGGCUCUGAGCUUUGAAAAGAUGGGCAUAUAUUUGGCCCGUUCUUUUAUGCUAAUCCACUCUGGCAGAGGGUUCCUGCUGCUAAGCCAACUUUCACGAUAACCCGACAGAGGAUUCUCCCCUUCUGGAGAAGUGUCUUGGCAGUAAAAGCAAGUUUGGUUCCAGUCCUUGGGAUGACUGGGCAAUUUGGCGGCUAGGAAAGUGGCUUCUUUCCGCCUCUGAAUUGAAAUGCCGCCUAAUUCUAGGCUGGGUCUAUUUGUGAACUCAAUCUGCCGAUUUAAGUAAUAAAAUUCUCUGAACAAUUCUACAGUAGGCUCAUGUUGAAGGUAUACUUCGCUAAACACUUGAAAGUUGCAGAUAUUUGAAACGGAAUUGGGCCCGAUAUAUUGAGGAUGGAGCUUGAAAAGGUGCAGCACAUCGCGGAAGAAUUUUGAGCCGGGGGGUGGAACCUCGGAGCACAUGAUCAGUAAAGACAAUUACUUCACCUUCCUUGGGCUGAGGAGGGGUUUCUAUGCCUGGGACUCUCCAAUGGAUGAAAUCUUUUUUGGCUAAGAUGCCCGUUUGGACAUACUCGUUCAUUGUUUCCUCGGUAACCCGGGAGACGACCCAGUUGCAUGAGGUGACGGUCUUGGCUUUAGAAAUUUUUUGACUACAAAGGAAAGUAUUGCUGGGUUAAGGAUUGUGCUGCUAAAACCGACCAGCAAUCAAAAAGUAAGUGCUAUCAAGAUUGACAUGAUUAAACCGAAAGACGGUACCAGGUUAUAUAGAUUAUGAACAUGCAUUGGCGGCUUAAAAGGGGACUAAUGGUAUAUGGUGGGUUACGGUUUAUCAUUUAAGCCGCCUGAACAGUUGCCAUAUUUUAGAUCUAUAAGUGAGGAUUUACUAAGUGAUGGACAAACAUAUUCCAUAGAUUGGUGCUAUGGUUUUGGAUCUGCAGCAGUUCAGAACAUAAAGGAAAUUCUAAACCUAAGGUGGCGACAGUAGAAGAACUCGUACGCUCAAAUAAGAUCUUAUACAGAGAGAGCAUCUUUAGUUAUUCGAAAGUGAUGUUAAAUCACUACUGCGCAACUCUGGUGCCAAGUUCAGAUCAAAACUGGGCAAACUGGAAAAAAAGUGAAAACAGCGAAGAACACUGAUGAACGAUGAAAACCCUAGUGCAGAUCUGUUAUGGAAAAAAUGGAUGCUUACUGGUGUUGAUGAACAAUGGAGGCGCGUCGGAGUUCUUUGGUCUAUUCAGGCUGAUGCAGCGGCCGGAGUUGAGGGUGCUGGAGGAAGACGGCGGCGGCGGAGCUCGGGCUUGCUAGGGCAUCGCGAGGAGGAAGACGACGAUGAGGAGGGAGGGGUAAAAGAGAAAAGGAGGACCCCAUGUCCCUAUUUAUAAGGAAGUGGAUAGAUGGCUUGUUCGGGAAUCGAGGAGGCCGGAAAGUGGUUAUGUGGCUAUGUGAAUGCCUCGAUUUUCAGAAGUUCAUUAAAGAAAGAAAAAAAUCUGUUGAGAGGUUCUGGGCCAUGUGCACAAUUAAUGCGAGAUGAGGUCAUGGCGGUUAACACGAUACUGAGAUGUGACGUCAUGGCAGGUUACCAUGAAUGAGUAUAGAAUUCAUGAUGAAAGAUUCAAGUAAGACAAGAAGUGAAGAUUGAUGUUGUAGAACGAGAAGAAUAGGCUGUGCAAUCGCAAUCCAUUGAUCGGUGCACCAGGCACGUAUAUAUGAGUACAGAGGGGGCCACAACCUCGACUAUACAGAGGAAGCAGGAGGUGGGCCCAAUANNNNNNNNNNNNNNNNNNNNNNNNNNNNNNNNNNNNNNNNNNNNNNNNNNNNNNNNNNNNNNNNNNNNNNNNNNNNNNNNNNNNNNNNNNNNNNNNNNNNNNNNNNNNNNNNNNNNNNNNNNNNNNNNNNNNNNNNNNNNNNNNNNNNNNNNNNNNNNNNNNNNNNNNNNNNNNNNNNNNNNNNNNNNNNNNNNNNNNNNNNNNNNNNNNNNNNNNNNNNNNNNNNNNNNNNNNNNNNNNNNNNNNNNNNNNNNNNNNNNNNNNNNNNNNNNNNNNNNNNNNNNNNNNNNNNNNNNNNNNNNNNNNNNNNUAGUGACGUAGAGACUGGAAUGAAACUCCUCGAAGGUGGAAGUCGGCAGUCCCUUCGUCAUCACAUCGGCGAACUGUUGUGCAGUCGGAACAUGGAGGACCCGAAUACGUCCAAGGGCCACCUGCUCGUGCACAAAGUGAAUGUCCAGCUCAAUGUGCUUAGUCCGACGAUGAUGAACGGGGUUGGCAGAGAGGUACACCGCAGAGACAUUGUCGCAGUAGACAACCGUAGCCUAGGAGACAUCAUGAUGCAGAUCCUGAAGUAACUAUCAUAGCCAGGUGCACUCGGCAAUAGCGUUAGCCACAACUCGAUACUCAGCCUCCGCGCUGGAGCGCGAAACCGUGGGUUGUCACUUGGACGACCACGAGACGAGUGAAGGACCGAGGUAAAUGCAAGAGGUGGACCAACGGGUGUCGGGGCAGCCAGCCGAGUCCACGUCGGAGUAGGCCACCAUCUCCAGAGAAGUGGACGCCGUGAGGGUGAGCCCAAGAGUCACCGUGCCGCGAAUGUAACGGAGGAUCCGCUUCACGAGAGUCCAAUGGGAGUCACGAGGGGCGUGCAUGUGGAGACACACCUACUAAACAACAUACUGUAGAUCCGGUCGGGUGAGAGUCAGAUACUGAAGAGCGCCGACAAUAGACCGGUAGAAGGGAGCAUCCGACGCUGGCGAGCCCUCGAGAGCAGAAACCUUGGCCUUCGUGUCAACAAGAGUAGCAACAGGGUGACAGUUGAGCAUGCCAGUACGCUCAAGGAGUUCGUGCACAUACUUCUGCUGAUGAAGAAAGAAUCCUUCCGGUCGCCGAACAACCUCUGCCAAGGAAAUAAUGUAGAGCACCUAAGUCCUUGAUGGCGAACUCGUCACACAGCCUGACAGUAAUCUGCUGAAUAAGAGCUGCGGAGGAGGCCGUCAGGAUAAUGUCGUCGACAUAGAGGAGCAAAUAUGCAGUCGUGUCACCAUGGCGAUAGACAAACAGUGAGGCGUCCGAGCGUGUGACGCUGAAGCCCAGGGUCUGAAGAAACCCGGCGAUCCGCUGGUACCAGGCGCGAGGUGCUUGCUUGAGCCCGUAGAGAGACCGGGACAACAAACACACAUGGCCAGGAAGAGAUGCAUCGACGAAGCCGGUGGCCUGCUCACAAUAAAUCUGCUCCUCAAGAUGUGAUAACCCACAAGUAUUUAACCCAAAUUUAUAGAUUCGACACAAGGGGAGCCAAAGAAUAUUUGAAGGUAUUAGCAGCUGAGUUGUCAAUUCAACCACACCUGGAGAUUAAUUAUCUGCAGCAAAGUGAUCAGUAGCAAAGUAGUUUGAUAGUUUUGAUAAUAGUGACAACAUCAACGGUAACAGUAUCAUAGAUAGCAGUAAUUUGUAGCAAGUGUAACAGUGAUGAUAGUAAUAGUAACGCAGCAAGAUCAAUAAGGGUAAAUUUGUAGGCAUUGGAUCAGUGACUUGUUGGAUGAUAUUCAUCAUGUAACAGUUAUAACCUAGGGCGAUACGGCACUAGCUCCAGUUCAUCGAUAUAAUGUAGGCAUGUAUUCCGUAAAUAGUCAUACGUGCUUUAUUAAAAUAACUUGCAUGACAUCUUUUGUCCUACCCUCCCGUGGCAGCGGGGUCCAUAUUGGAAACUAAGGGAUAUUAAGGCCUCCUUUUAAUAGAGAACCAGAACAAAGCAUUAUCACAUAGUGAAUACAUGAACUCCUCAAACUACGGUCAUCACCGAGAGUGGGCCCGGUUGUUGUCACUCCGGGGUUGCCGGAUCAUAACACGUAGUAGGUGACUAUAACUUGCAAGAUCGGAUCUAAAACAUGGAUAUAAUGACGAAUUCAUAAACGGUUCAGAUCUGAGUUCAUGGCACCCGGGCCCAAAGUGACAAGCAUUAAGCAUAGCAAAGUCAUAGCAACAUCAAUCUAGGAACAUAGUGGAUAUUAGGGAUCAGGCCCUAACAAAACUAACUCGAUUACAUGAUGAAUCUCAUCCAACUCCUCACCAACCAGUGAGCCUAUGAAGGAAUUACUCACUCCCGGUGGGGAGCAUCAUGAAUUGGCGAUGGAGAUAGGUUGGUGAUGACGAAGAACGAAGAUCCCCCUCUCUGGAGCCCCAAACGGACUCCAGAUCUGCCCUCCCGAGGAAGAAUAGGGCUUGGAGGCGGCUCCAUCUCGUGGAUCGCGAUAAUUCUUUUUUCCUCAUUUUUUUCUGGAAUAAUGUGAUUUUAUAGUAUCAGGGGGUCGUCAGCGGGGCCACCACGUGAGUACAACCCACCUGGGCACGCCAGGAGAGGGGGGCGCCCUGGUGGGUUGUGCCCACCCAGGGGCCCCUCUCUGGUGGGUCUUGGCUCCAAAAAUUCUUAUUAUUGGUAUAAAAAAUCCUCGCAAUGUUUUGUUCCAUUCCGAGAACUUUCAUUUCCGCAUAAAAACAACACCAUGGUAGUUCUGCUAAAAACAGCGUCAGUCCGGGGUUAGUUUCAUCCAAAUCAUGCAAAUUAGAGUCCAAAACAAGAGGAAAAGCGUGAGAAAAAGUAGAUACGUUGGAGACGUAUCAAGAUGGUCGUGGAGGAAGGCGUUGGAGACAUCCAUCUGAUGAACUGGCCAGCCUCAGGACACCGCAAGCUGGAGGACGGUGCGGAUCGUGCCCGGUUCGACAACCGGUGCAAACGUCUCAGUGAAGUCAACUCUAGCGUGCUGUCGAAAACCACGAACCACCCAGCGAGCCUUGUAGCGCUCAAGUGUACCAUCCGAGCGGGUCUUGUGGCGAAAGACCCACUUGCCGCUGAUAACAUUGGCGCGAGGAGGCCGGGGAACUAGUGUCCAGGUGCGGUUUCGCUGAAGAGCGUCGAACUCUUCCUGCAUUGCAGCAAGCCAGUGAGGGUCACGAAGGGCUGCGCGAGCGGACGCAGGAAGAGGGUACGGCUCCGCGGUGGAGGCGGCGAGGAGGUACUCAUCGCUCGAGUACCGCAGACUCGGACGGUGAAUGCUAGUGUGGGCCCGUGUGACGGGACGAGACGGCAACGCAGAAAUGGCUGGUGUGGUGGCCGGCGAUGCAAUCGGCGCGGCGGCCAGCGACGCGGCCGACGAGACCGCCGGUGACGCGGCCGGGGAGGAGGAGGCGGCCGAGCCCUCGGCAGCCGAGCCCACGACGCCCGUGGCGGGGGCGGCGGGUGAAGAGGGGGCGUCGGCCGAGGCGUUGGGGCCGGCUGAGGAGGCCGAAGAGGCGGGCGCUGGCGUGGGGGCGUGAAGCGUAGCUCGUCCCACGACGCGAGGACCGCCAAAGCCCGGAGGCGGUCCGAGAGCCGAGCGGGGCUGUGCACCUGACGAAGUCGCCGAAGGGCCGCCGGUGGCCGGGGGCGACGAGGCGAGGAGAGGUACUUGCUGCUGAAACGGAAACACCUUCUCAUCAAAGUAAACGUGUCGGGAGGUGAAAACACGAUGGGAGACGGGAUCGUAGCAGCGGUAGCCCUUAGUGUUAGGUGGGUAGCCAAAAAAGAUGCAGGCAACGGAGCAGGUGCAAGCUUAUGAGGCGCAGUGGCGACGAUGCUAGGAUAGCAGAGAUAGCCGAAGAUGCGAAGCUCAUCAUAAGACGGCGGUGCACCGAAGAGGAGGUGAUGAGGUGCAAAGUUCCCGCGAGUGCGACAUGGAAUGUUGUUAAUGAGAAGUGAUGCGAUGAUGAGAGUGUCAGGCCAAAAGCGCGGAUGCACAUUGCCGUGAAAGAGGAGAGUCCGAACGCAGUCGUUAAGAGUGCGGAGGACACGCUCAGCGCGACCGUUCUGCUGCGAAGUGUACAGGAAGGUGAGCUGAAAAGUCGUGCCAUGUGUGGUGAGGAGAGUACGAACAGCUAGGUUGUCAAACUCCUUCCCGUUAUCUUUCUAGAAUGCAAGAAUGGGACGACCAAACUGCAUGAGAACAUAAGAGUAGAAGGCAGCGAGAGUGGAUAUAACAUCCGACUUGCGACGCAACGGGAAGGUCCACACAUAAUGCGAAAAAUCAUCAAGUAUGACAAGAUAAUAAAGAUAGCCCGUAUUGCUUGCAACAGGAGAGGUCCAAACAUCACUAUGAAUUAACUCAAAUGGGUACGAUGCAACAUGAGAAGAUGCCCUAAACGGGAGACGAGCAUGUUUGCCAAGGCGACAUGCAUGACAGGAGUGAUCCUCGUUCUUAUUACACGUGAAAGAAAAACUCUGAAGUAUAUGACGAAGGGUGGCGGGGUUGGGAUGACCAAAGCGAGCGUGCCAAAGAUCCACUCCGGUGGCGAGAGCGACACGGGCGGCGGAGGUGGUGGAGUGAACCGGGUAGAGCUCAUCGGGGCUAUCACAUCGGUGGAGUACCAUCCGACUGCGAGCGUCCUUAACAGAAAAACCACACUCGUCAAACUCAACGGUAACAAGAUUUUCAUGUGUAAGAGAACGAACAGAAACAAGAUUUUUAAUAAGAUCAGGAGAAACUAAGACGUUAGACAGUGAUAUUGGAGUGGAAUUAGACGGAAAAUAUGCAUGUCCUAUGUGAGUAAUGGGAAGGGAGGAACCGUCACCGACGGUGAUGCGAGCAGAAGUGUGGACAGGAUAGGAGGUAUGGAGGUUACCGGGAUAAGCGGCCAUAUGCACGGUAGCUCCAGUGUCCAUAUACCAGUCGCAGCCGCCUGUGUAGGUGGACGGUGAAGGGGCGGUGUGGAGAGCCGCCAGAAGGGCCGGGUCCCACGGCACCGGCGGGAGAGCAUGCUGCUGCAGCGGGGCAGUCAGGGGCAGCGGCGGCAGCCCGCCUGGCUGCGGCUGCUAGUCGUAGGAGAGGGUCCCAUAGGGCGCCGCGUAAGGCUGCGGCGCCGCGUAGAACGCCUGGUGAGAUGGUGGCCCGGCGCCGAGAAUACCCGAGCUAGGGGCACGCAGAACCGGCAUGGAGUAGGCGUGCACGACACCGAUCCAUGGGCUCUGACCGGCGUACCACGAAGCCAACGAGUACUGCUGCUGCGGAGGGCGGGCGGCUCUUCCCUGAGCGCCCGCCCCCUGUUGCUGCUUGCGGCCUCCACGGUGGCCACCGCGACGACCCCUCCAUUGGCGGCCGGCUGGGGCUCCAGGAAGGGGGCAACCAGGGCGGGCGGGAAGCCGGGCGGGAAAGCGGGCGCCGGCGGCUGGGCUGGCGUCGGGCACGGAGGUGACGGGGCCUGGCCCCCGCGAGUGCCGGCGACGAGGGCGGUGUGGGUCGCCCGAGUCCGGGCCAUCCUCAUACGGCGCUCCUCCAGCUUGAGGUACGCCACCACCUUAGCGAAGGUAGGAUCCAGAAUGAGGGUGAGCUUGGAGGCGGUGUUCCCAAAAUCCUCGUUGAGACCGGCGGUGAGGGUGCUGAUGAGGAGCUCGUCACCGACCGUCUCUCUGAGAUUGCAGAGCUCAGGCGCAUGCAAAAACUGUCGAUGGACGAGUCAAGCUGCUGGCAUCCGUAAAACUCGCCGUGGAGAAGGACCUUGCGCUGCAGCUUGUUGUCGGUGAAGAGGCCGUUGGGCUUAGUCCAGACGGCAUAGGCGUCGUCGUCGUCAUCCACCACGGUGUGGAAGUGGUCGCUGGAGAUGGUGAGGUAGAACCAGCGGAUGGUGGUGGCGUCGAGGAUCAUCCACUCCUCGUCGUUGAUCAUGAGGGUUGACUCCACGGUGCCAUCGACGUGGCCAUGAAGGAGGUACUCGCAGAACACCAGCGAAAAAUACUGCUUCUAAGCGGAGUAGGAGGCGGUGGAUUGAUCAAGCUUCAUCGGAACGCGCUCAUGGAUGUUGAGGUCGCGGACAAGAGUGACAUCGGGACCGGCGAACGGGUUGGAGACAGUGGAGGAGGAGGAACUCAUGGCUAGGGUUAGGGUUUGCGACACGGGUGCGGCGCGGGGUGGAGGUGGUUGCGGUGCGGGGUGGUGGUGCGGCGCGGGGUGGAGAGAGGGAGCGGAAGCGAGGCGAUCGGCAGCGGCUGUAGAGAGGCGGCGACGGACGGUGUGGUGGUGGGACGCGGCAGCGACGAGCGGCGGCGGCGGCGACCGAAGAAACGGCGGCGGCGGUGCGUGGAGGCGCGGCGGCGGCUAGGGUUUUAGGACCGUGUUGCGAUAGAUUCCAUGUAGAACAAGAAGAAUAGGAUGUGCAAUCGCAAUCCAUUGAUCGGUGCACCAGGCACGUAUAUAUGAGUACAUAGGGGGGCCACAACCUUGACUAUACAGAGGAAACAGGAGGUGGGUCCAAUACACAAUAUACACGUACACAAUAUACUCAACAGAUGUGAACAAGUUCAAAUCAACCUGGGGCCUAAUGUUGGGGAUAUAACUACUGGGUAUGACCCGCCCAGGAGGGGCCAGGUCAUGCCACUGGCGGCCUAAGAUGAAGAGGCCCAAAAAUAUAUGAAGAUGGCGGUUCAUAGAGUGAGGUUAUUGAAGGCCCAAGACCCGGGGACGACUUGAGGCCCACGGGUGUGAGCCGCCAUAUGUUUAACUUGCAUUGUAAGGCAAGCUUUGUUAGAUACCGAGCCGGACACGUUUGUAUGAGCCGGCCGGGAUUCUGUAAGCCGCCGGGCAUCAACCUAUAUAUAAAGGGGUGACCCUGCGACGGGUUAAGGCAAGAAACAACUCAUCGAGAACUAGGUCAAACGUAUUCGCUCCCUGGUAAUUGAAACCUAAGCAAUACAAUCUAAAGCAGGAGUAGGCUUUUACCUCAUUGAGAGGGGCCAAACCUGGGUAAACUCUCUGUGUCCUUUGUCCUGUUUAACCCCUUCAAGCUAACCUAGUUGCGAUGGCUCCACACCUAAGUCCUCUUGCUAGGGCAUCUGUCGUGUUAAGUUCAUGACAGUGCCGCCUUUGUUCGCCUUCUCCCUGCUAAUAUAUUGAAAGCCAACAGUUGCUAGAUCUUUCUAAAAAAGCUCUAUUUGCAUAUGCAACCGAUAAUUUUAUCUGUUCAGAUGUUCUUGGAACUACGACGACAACCUUUCAUAAUGGCUCAUUUACCACCCAGGAAAGCCACACAUAAGAAGUCAAGGUUGAAUGGGUAUCUUGCUAGUUUCAGCAAAUUGUGAGUAAAUUGCCGAAAGCCACCACGUUUGUGGAUAGGGUACUCCAAAACCACCACUUUUGCCAAAAGUUUCAAAAAACCACCACUCUGGCGUCAAGUGAGUAACAAAUCACACUGAUUCACAGAUUAGCUCGCACAAACAACAAAACUGACUGGCGGGACCUACUUGUCGGUCCAACAUGGCAAGUCUAUGUGUACAGUUUGCUGAGGUGGAACGUGGGUCCCACGUGUCAUCCACUCACCUUCUUUUCCCUCUCUUCUUCUUCUUCCCCAUCCUCUUGUCCCUCCCCGUCCUCCUCAGGUGCGGCCAUGGAGCUCCGGCGGAAGCGGCGGGCUGCGGUGGUGCAUCUCAGGUGCGGCCAUGGCUGUGGUGCUCCCGCUGGGUCACGCAAACCCGACCCGGCCUUCUCCCGCUGGGACACGGGCAGCCGACCCGGCCUUCUCCUGCUGGGCAAGUGCGUUGAUGGGCGGCGGCCGGAGGAAAGGGAGGAGCCGUCGUGAGGGCCCGUCGGGAUGUGGGAGGCGGGCGCCACGACAAGACGCUGGAGGUGGUAGGCGGGGGGCGCGGCGCGGCAUCGGGAUGUGGGAGGCGGGGGCCACGGCGCGACGCUCGAGGUGGGAGGCGGUGGUGCGACGCGUCGUUGGAGAUGGGAGGCGACGGGGCGCGACGCUGGAGGUAGAGGCGUCCCGACGAUGUGGCCGGGGGCAGGCCGAUCUGGCUGGGCCGAAGAAAGGUCGUCGGUGGCCGAAUCUGGCGCUCCCCGGUGCUCCUCCCCCUGUUUGACCUCGCUGUCGUCCUUUUGGUGAUGCAUGUGGUGGUCGGCGGCAGGAGGAGUCAGUGAGAGGGGGAGAGAGGAGGAGAAGGAAAAGGGGGAAGAAGAAAAGAAAAAAAAAGUGAAAUGAGAUGGGAGGCCGACAGGUGGGUCCAUCUUCCACCUCAACAUAUUGUAUAUGUAGGCAUGCCAAAUCAGCCUGGCAUGUGGGGCCAACUUGUCAGUUUUGCUGUUAGAUGCGGCUUAAUUUUGAAUCGGCGUGAUUUGUUACUCACUUGAUGCAAAAGUGGUGGUUUUUUGAAACUUUUGGCAAAAGUGGUAGUUUAGGAGUACCCUAGUCAUAAAUGUGAUGGCUUUGAGCAAUUUACUCGCAAAUCCUUCUCUAGCCCUGUUUGUUCGAUUUAUGAAUUUCACUUAGAACCAAAGUUCUGCUUAAUCUGGUUGAAAACUCAAAUGCACGUCUCAGCUAUUUCCCAUCGAAUGAGUUUCCGCUGACUUGAUCAACUCAUGUCCAGCAAAUGCACGCCCUGGUUCUCAUCGCGGCAACAACAUGGAAAUUGAAAAAUGAAUGGUGGUACAGAGGCAUUGUUUGCCUCGACACGGUGCCAGCGUGAAGACCCGGCGAAGCUGGGUUUCUCUUCGAUGAAAAGCAGAGUUUGACCCACGAUUGACAAAACAUAGCUUGCUUUUCCUGCGGACGCCAGCCAUAUAUAUUUGGGACGCUUGACCAGGUCAGAUUAUAGCUCCGCUCAAAGAAAUAGAAAUGGGGUAGGUUAUUCCCUGCAUCUGGGUCCAGCGAACGGCUGCCGUCCCGGCCGGCCAGAUCAAGAGCCGGCACCGGCGAAGCGACAGGCAAAAAGGCAAGCCCCGAUCAAACGAGGCGGCUACCGUCUGAAGUCUACCUGGCGUCGCCUCGCGCACCCAGCUCCCUCUGCGCGUAUAUAUCUCUGCGCGCGCGCACACCAUGGCAUCAACCCAUCUCUAAGCUGCCGAACUUGUCACCUAGAAGUAGAAUACUGUCGCUAGUGCGAGCUCUCUCCAAAGCAAGAUCUAGGAUCGGCUUUCUGUCGUCCGGCUCGGUGCAUUGUUCGAUCGGGAUGGCGGGGGGCUCGGCGGCGACCGGCGCGGACGAGAAGGCUCUGGCGCAGGGAUGGCGGAGGGUCGUGGACCGGGAGGCCGUCGACCGGGGCGUCGCCUACGCGCUCAUGGUCGUCGCUCUCGUCGCCACGUAUGCGCUUCACUAGCCUGCUACAUCGGCUCCCAAACAUACAUACCAUGGGCGGCCGGAGACGGAGAGGAAGGAUUUUGUUCCGAUCGAGUGCGUUUCAAGUGGCCGCACUUCUAUGUGUGAUGUUCUUUCUUUUUAAACUUCGACGUCUAGUGAGAGUUGAGAGAGGAGGGGAGAAAAUAUAGAUGAUCAUGUAUAUUUUAUUUUAUUUGCAAUAAACCCCCUGACCUUAGUAUCAGAUGGGACCAGUGGCGGAGCCAAAAAAAAAUUUAUCACGGGUGGGAAGAGACAAAACCUAGAAAAAUGAGUUUUUAGCAGCAAAUGACCAGUAAUACCUAAGCCUCUAUAUCCGGCUAAUUUUUUUUUAAAUAAUACUUUUUUUAUUAAAUUACACAAAUAUUACGCCGAAAAAAUAUUUUUCACAAAUAAUACACCGUCGGCCCGCAGCGGGCCGACUGGACCUAAUUGGCCCACAGCAGGCCGAUCGGCUUUCUGCUGGCCGACUGCUGGCCUGCCUGGCACGCGUCGGCCUCGGAUUGGGCUGGCCACGUCGCGAGGGGGAGGGAGGGAGCUGUCAGCGCGGGCGUGCCCCUGUCGGCCUACCGCGGGCCGAUCGGCCAGCUGCUGGCCGACAGGGUGCGGCCCCACCUCGCGCGCGGCUGGGCGGCUCCCUGCGGCCUUAUCCUCCCCUUCCUCCCUUCUUCUUCUGUUCUUCUUUUGUUCUUACCUUCUCCUCUCUCUACACAAAAAUGCCACCAAUUUAUACACCUAAAUGAGCAAGUUUUUCGUGAUUUUGGCACCGUGAAUGGAUUCAACUCAGUUAGGGCAGCCAAAAGAGGUCUCGAUCUACUGAUGGGGUAGCUCGUGGUGGUCGUGGUGAGCAUUUUGGUGGAGGUGGUGGUGGUGAAGUUGGGGCAGUGUGGUGGAGGUGAAGCUCGUCAUUCGUCGUUCUUCGUUGGAGGCGGAGCACCGGCAGUUUGGUGGCCGCCGUUCGUCGUUCUUCGUUCGCACGCACGCUUCAAGGGUAUAUUUCAGCAAAUAUUUUAUUUUUCGUAGGUGCUCCAGUAGUAUUUAUUAAUAUAUUUCGAUGUGAAAUAAAUUAGGUGUGCGAUUAUUAUUAUUUGCCCCGGUAGUAUACGUAAAUAUAUUUAGAUGUCAACUAAUUAGUUGUGUAAAAAUGUGUAGUUGCUCCGGUAAUAUUCCGUACUAUAUAUGGAUGUCAAGUAUUUAGGAGUGUCAGUAUUUGUAGUAGUUCCGAAAAAAGGUCCGUAAUAUAGGCAGUCCAGUCAAAUAUAUUAAUCUGUCAAUAUUUGUAGUUGCUACGGCAAAUAUUCGUAAUAUACUUGUAGGUGUGUGAAUUGUAUUAGUUGCUCCGUUAAUAUUCUGUAAUAUAUAGCUAGGUAAUAUAUAGACAUGUCUAAUAUUUGUUAGUGGGGGUAUAUUAAGUUGUUGCUUAAUACUUGUAUUUCGUUGUUGAAAAAAAAAUAGGUGAGUCGAGAUGUCCGAUGUAGUGAAGUUCAGAUUUUACUACGGUCCUGGUACUAUCCAAACAACUGAGAUGGGAGCAGAUCUGAGUGAAUUUACUCACAUAGAGGUGCCAAUGAGCGCACCACAAACAUGGUCUGUCUGUCAGUUGAAAGAAUGGAUUGCGGCAAGUUUAGGUCUUGAUACUGAAACACACACCGUCGGUGUUCAUGCAUUGUGGACACGGUCAAGUUCAAUAAUUUACUUUUAUUUGAGGCCAAUAGAGGGAGACUCCGAUUAGGUGCGGUGGUUACAAGGUUGUGAACGAAGGGGAUGCAAUCCUGUUGCUUUAGUGCUUCCCGUCGUGAAGGAGGUCACUGCACAUGAAGGCGAGGGUGGCUACGAAGGACAGAGCAGUCAGGUAGAAGGAGGAAAUGCUUAUGGUUACGAACAAGGACAGAGCAGUCAGGUAGAAGGAGGAAAUGCUUAUGGUUAUGAACCAGGGCAGAGUAGUCAGGUAGAAGGAGGAAAUGCCGAUGGUGAUUACAAUGGCGAGGUGGACGCUGACGAGGUAGAUGGGCACAUGCAGAACCAGAUGGAAGAAGAAGACACCGAUGUUGAAAGGGGUCAUGCCGAUGAUUCUGACGAGUCAGAUGAAGAAGAAAAUGCAGAGGAGGUCCCGAAUCCUGCAUCGUGGAAUCAUGACUUCUCAUCUGCAAUGACCGUGAAUGAUGGACAUGAUUCAGCCUGGCAAUAUCACCAGAACAAUAUUGCGACGGGUGCUAUGUAUCCGAACAAGCAAGCCCUGAAGGAUGCAAUAAUUAAUUGGGCAAUGUCCACGCAAAGGGUUUUCACAGCUCAGGUGUCCAGUCAGAAAUUCCUGACAAUGGUAUGCAAGAACGCAGAUUGUCCCGCCAGGGUGCACGGCUUUCUCCCUAAGUAUGGCACAAGUUGGGUGAUAAGUGACUUAGUUAAUCACACUUGUCUUAUUCCCUGCAUCCCUCAAGAUCAUGCCAACCUUUCAAAUCCACGCUUAUUGCUCGGUUGUUUUACGAUGAGAUAGUGCAGGGCAAAGCUAUGGAAGUGAAGGCAGUCCAGACAAAAGUCUUCACCAUGUUCAAGUACAGAAUUUCUUAUGGCAAGGCUUGGAGGGCUAAGCAUGCGGCGCUUGAGAGGGGAUUUGGUUCUUAUUUUGAUGCAUAUGACUCUGUUGUCCACCUCCUCCACACCAUGCAGCAGCGGAAUCCAGGCACCUAUAUCGAUAUCCAAGACAUGUUCAUGCCAGAGUUCCCAACUGUGAGGGUGUUGCAUUGUCUCUUCUUCUCUUUCGGUGUAUGCAUCGAAGCUUUCAGGCAUUGCCGACCGGUGAUAUGUGUUGACGGUACUUUUCUCACAGGCAAGUACAAGGGUCAGAUCCUGACAGCCAUAGGUCAAGACGGCCAAAAUCAAGUCGUCCCACUGGCAUUUGCUUUUGUGGAGAGUGAGAACAUUGAAAGUUGGACAUGGUUCUUCAGGCAGUUGAAAAUAUCAGUUGUGAAGGAGAAGCCCAAUGUGUGCAUCCUUCAUGACAGGCAUAUGAAGGUAUACUCAGUGCGAUAAGGACACUGACAAACCCAGGCCCUGAGGAACAAGUUCCAUGGCAGGACUUGCAGAGCCGUUGGUGCAUGCGCCAUCUGGGGGCUAAUUUCUUCUCGCAGUUUAGAAAUAAGAACCUGAUGAAUCUGUUCAAAAAACUCUGCAAGCAGAACCAGUUAUGGAAGUACAAUUUGAUACGCGACAGACUUAAUGUGUGCACGCAGAGACACGUGAGGGACAGGAAAGCUGCAAGAGAUGCAGCGGUGAGGGCACAUGUUGAAGCAGUAGCUGCACAGUUGGCAACAGGAACAGCGGUCGUGGAGGAGGAGCCUGUUGGGCUAUGUGACCUGCCAGGCUUUGACCCACCUGGUACUAGGAGAAGGCUCGGGAGGUCGAUUAAAACCUUCGAGCAGUGGAUAGAGCAUGAGCCUCUGGAGAGGUGGUCUUUGCUACAUGACACACAUGGAGCAAGGUACGGUGUCAUGACAACGAACCUCGCGGAAACAUACAACUUUGUCCUCAGAGGAAACCGGGCAUUGCCACUUACAGCCAUCGUUGAGGGUAUUUUCUAUGGCACCGUCAAGUAUUUCAGAGAUAGACGUCAAAAAGCAGAGCAGCAUAUCUUAAACAACCCAAAUACACGGUAUUGUGAAAGAGUCACGAAGUACAUGGACAACAAGAUGCAAAAAGCUAGGUCACACACUGUAGUCGCCAUCGGUAAUCAAGAAAGAAGGUUUGAGGUCCGCUUAGCCAACAACAAAUUCGGAUGUGCAAAUGAGUUGAGGACGCAUGAGGUGAAAAUUGGUAAUGAAGCCUGGCCAACGUGUGAGUGCACAUGCAACAAACCGAAAUUGCUUCACCUACCUUGCUCACAUGUACUUGCUGCUUGCGGGCAGCUUGGAAUGGACGCAAUAUCGUUUGUGUCUCCAUUUUUUCUGAAAGAGUCUGUCCUCAAUACCUGGACAGGUGAGCUGAUGGGUUUUCGAUCAAUGGGUAAUUUCAACAGCGUCAACCCCGCUGAAAGGCGUUACAUUCCAAACCCAGAGCAUAUGCGUACAAGUAGAGGCAGACGGCAGUGUCAGCGCAUCCGGAAUGAUAUGGAUGAAUCUGAAGCAGGAGGUCCGACUAGGCAAUGCAUUCUAUGCAAUGAAUUUGGCCAUAGGGACACUAAUUGUCCCACUUUCGUCACUGGGCGUGGACGAGGCAACAGGGAAAGAAGAGGAGGUAGAGGCAGUAGAGGAGUAAGGGCGAGAGGAAGAAGCUAAGCUAGCAGUAGUAUGUUCUGAAUUUUUAUUAAGUGUGGCACUAUGUUCUGAAUUUGUAUUAAGUGUGGUACUAUGUUCUGAAUUUUUAUUAAGUGUGGCACUAUGUUCUUAAUUUGUAUUAAGUGUGGCACUAUGUUCUGAAUUUGUAUUAAGUGUGGCACUAUGUUCUGAAUUUUUAUUAAGUGUGACACUAUGUUCUGAAUUUUGUUAAGUGUGACACUAUGUUCUGAAUUUGUAUGCAUGCGGCGCUUGAGAGGAGAUUUGUAUUAAGUGUGACACUAUGUUCUGAAUUUUUUAUGUGGAGGAAUGUCGGGAUUGUGGUUGCUGAAUGGGGACAUUGAUAGGGGUCAUCAUGCUGCGAUAUGGUAUGAGCGCAAGCUUGAGCCUCUGAUCAUUGUCGUCUGGACCUCUUCUUCAGCACCGUCCAGUGCUACAGCCCUUCUUGGAAAGAAUUCAGAAUAAGAUACGGAUUGUGUACGAGGCUAUCACGUGCACCCGGAGAACCGACGUUGUUCAGCACCAGCAGCAGCAACCGCGUCACUCCACGCACCGACAUCAACCACGUCCACGUCUAGCACAUCAGCCGACAACCAGGCCACCCCAUCCUGACCAACCUGGCAGUUCAACGUGGCAGCAACCAUAGCACUAUGGUCCCACGUCGAGCUUCGUGUUGUCUCCACAGCCACAGCAGCACGGUCCCUCGUCGAGCUUCGUGUUUUCUCCACAGCCACAGCAGCACGGUCCCUCGUCCAGCUUCGUGUUUGAGCCAGAGCAGCCGUCACAUCCAGCAGGUAUGUGUCUUCAUAUUUUUUGUUUUCAAUAUUAAUUGACGCGACCUCAUUCUUCAUGAUGAAACGUUCCAUUGCGCAGGAGCAUACGGAUAUCAGGCAUCUAUGUCGGCAUCACAAGAUACGUGGGGGAGUGAUCAACAUCCCGAGGAAAACAUACAGGCUCAAAUGUCGCAGCACACCCAGUGGAUGAACAUGUUUUCGACUCCUCCACCAGGCCCCACACAGGAUACACAGCAUGACCAGGAAGAGUCUGAGAUUCCUCCUCGUCACAUUAGGCCACCCAACAGGUGGGGAUGGUCGCCGCUUAGAUCUGCCUCCCCGCCAGGCCAGACGUCGUCACUGACGCUUCUAUCUAUCCGUACAGACAUUACCAUCUAUUUCUGUGUGAGACUUAUGUCUAUUCUAUGUAUGAGACAAAUGACUAUGUACUUAUGUAUGAGACAUAUGCCUACUCUAUUUUAGUACUCUGUUAUCUGAACUAUAAGAUCAUAUUUAGAUAGAACAUAAUGCUCAUACAACAAGACAUUACAAACAACUAGAUAGAACAAAAUUAAACGGUACGUACGACUGAACUUGCAACAUACAACAUAAAAACUACAUGAAGUCAUCAUCGUCAUUCUCGAUCGAUGCAGAACUCUUGCCCUUCGACGGUGAAGAACUCUUGCCCUUCGACGAUGAAGAAGUCGUGCCCUUCGUCGAUGCAGAAACCUUGCCCUUCGACGAUGCAGAAACCUUGCCCUUCGACGAUGCAGAAACCUUGCCCUUCGACGAUGCAGAACCCGGAAGCGGCGGCAUGAAGAUAUCAUCUUCGUCCUCGCUCUCCUCAGUCCAUAAACAUGGAUUAUUUGCUGCAAUCCUUCUGAAAGUUUCACUCUUCGGCACCACUACCUUCUUCCACCUUUCAUGCAACCUAAGAAGUUCUUUACGUACCUCCUCAUAGGUCCUUUCAGGCCACCCAGACCGACGUAAUUCGUGAGCCAACUCAUUCAUUAUGGUGUCACUACCGGUGAGUUCGUCCCAUGAAACUAUCCUAUUGUCCAUCCUGAAAUCGGUAGCUAGCCUCAGAAGAGUCCUGCUCAUCCCAGGGUGAAAACUACGAUCGAAAGGAUAAUGCGACAUCUCAACUACACUACACUGGAAUGCUUAUCCACCUCCGUGUGAAGGGGGUUUUAUAGGUAGAGAGGAGAAAAUGGCGGGAAAGAACGACUGCAGUAUGGCGGGAAAGAGUUGGCGGGAACAUAUGGCGGGAAACGGGUGGCGGGAACAUAUGGCAGGAAACGGGUGACGGGAACAUGGUAUGGGGCAAAAAAAAUCUGUAAUAUGGUAUGCAUGCACCAGUCGGCCCACAGCAGGCCAAUUAGUCCCUGUCGGCCCACAGCAGGCCAAUUAGUUCUGCAGGCCGACUGGACCCUUGUCAGCCCCCAGUUGGCCGACUGGACUUUACCUGGUGGCCGAUAGGCCAAUCGGCCAGCAGCAAGCGGAUAGGACCCCAGUCGGCCUGCUGCGGGCCGACGGUGUAUUAUUUUUGAAAAUCAUUUUUUGGGCGUAAUAUUUGUGCAAAUUAAUAAAAAAAAUGUAUUAUUUAGAAAAAAUUAGCCCAUAUCCGACAAGGUUUCCCCUCCAAGAUUGAUACACUUGGAUGAAAAAGACCCAUAGUGCCCCCGCAAAAAACGGGUGUGGCACUCGCUUUGGUUGGCUUAGCGUUUUUCCAUUGGAAAAGCCUUCAAUUCAGCCGGCUGAUUUUAGAGCUGGCGUCCGCCGCGCGCUACACCGUCCGAUCAGCCGAGCACUGAGUUGUCUGAUCAGCCGAGCGUAAUACGUAUACCGCGGCGCCAGAGCUGCGAGGUCUGUCUGGCUUGUCACAUGAGUGGUCCCCUAGGCGUAUGGGCAGUUGUUUGUUUUCACACGUUUCUUUACUGCCAACGCGCGGAUGCUAAGCUCAUGCACCAGGUAGUACAGUAGCUUUUAGCUUACGAGACCAUUCCAAAGAGUCCACUAGUACUUAAAAAAAAUGUUGCCAUGUUGUUGCAAUCCAGCGCCUCGGCAACUCAGUCGCGCGUUGCAACAUAGAUUGGGCGCCGCUUCAAAUCGGCCCGCAUGUCGUUACAAGGACCGGGCGUCGCUGCUACAAAACUGCCACAUAUGACCCAACAAGGAUACACUGCACUGGAAGGGAUGGCCACCAUCCGCCAUGAUAAGAUGUAAAUAACCAUCCGGUGUUGCAAGCCAUCGCCGGGGCAUCGACGACUGUCGGUGUCAUUUCUCUCCCCAAGCUUGUUGCCCGACAUCUCCCUCAUUCUCCAUCCUCCGCAAGCUUUGCAAAAUCAUCUCCGUUGCAGCUUCACACGUCUACCGUAUUGCGAAGCAGCUUUGCAAUGCCAUCUUUGUUGCAAAGGGGCUUUGCAACGUCAUCCUUGUUACAAAGGGGCUUCACAACACGGAUCAUGUUGCAACCGACAACAUAUUUUUUGAGUGCAACAUGAAUCAUGUUGCAACCAGCGAGCACAACAUGGCUCAUGUUCCAAAAGAACUAAAAUAAUUGCAACAACAUGGCUCGUUGCAACCCCGAGCGCAACACGCAAUGCUGCGGGGGCAUCAACAAUGUUGUGAGCCGAUGUUGGGAGGCACGUUGUCGUGUUGCAAAAGCGUCGUCAUAUGUGUCAUACGAGCAUUGAUGUUGCGAGGCGUGUCAUUGUGCUAUGAGAGUAUCUGCGUGUCGUGGGAGUGUCGCUGGUGUUGCGACGCGCGUCGUCGUGCUAUGGGGCGUGCUACAAGCAAGUGUAGUCGCGAGCCAUGUCGUGUAGUGGGCAUGGCCGGUGCCACAAGUAGGUGUUGCGGUAGCGUCACCGGUGUUGCGAGCCAUGCUACGAGCGUCGAGAAUGAUGCUACAUGACGGAUGCUCGACGCUACAAAUCUUGGCACCAAUGUUUUUUUGUUGAAACUAGAAUGUUGUGCUAUUAAAUCGCAGGAAGCAAGGUUGCCUAUGUUGCCACAAUGCAAGUCUGGUUGUCCUUGUGUUUUUUCUAUGACAAAAGACUGACCAUUGUGCUACAAAACUGUGCGACGCCGCAAGGCCGGUUGGUACUGCUACUAGCCGAGCGCUCGACAUAGCAAGUCGAAAGUGCAACGUUGUAUGUUGAUCGACAUUUUUUUGAAGCGAACCAAUGUUAUUGGAAGCCGAACACACAAUGUUGCAAGAUCGAACAUUGUUGUUGCCUGCUACAAGCCGAGCGCUCGGCAUACCAAGUCAAAAACGCGUGGGCGCCGCUGCUGCCGCCCGCCUCCACCAUGAGCGUCGGCCAUCACGGUACGCCCGAACUCAAGCUGCAUCUGCCAUCCCGAGGGAGCACUGGUGCCCGCGUCUACCGUGGGGAGCUGCGUCCACCAUGACCCCACCGUCCCAUGGGAGCACCCGCCUUUUUUUUUCGGCCGAUGUGGUCGCUGCUCGAUGUCCGCAACAACGAGUUUCUGCAAUAAGGUCUUUUUUGCAAAAAGAAGUAACAAGAUCUUUGUUGCCAAAAAAAUUAAAUUCUAGUGAGACCUAUGUUGCAAAAAAUUUAAAUUGCAACAAGAUCUUUGUUGCAAAAAAAAUUGUAACAAGACAUCCGUUGUAAAAAUAAUCUGCAACUUGACAUAGGCUGUAAAAAAUUCUGUAAUAUAACUUGCAACCCGACAUGUGUUGCAAUGGUAGAAGAUAAUCCGUGGUCGGUUAACCCAGCAGAUCGGACGACUCGCGAGGCAAAAGAUCGGCCGACGCGUAGCAACGUCCAAGUUGUAUUGCAACAGCCGGUACGUUUUAUUAUAAAAAUACAACCGAGUCACUUUAUUCAUAUUCCAAUCUCCCCACAAAAUGUAUAAAGCAACACCACGGGGCACGUGUGUGGUCUGCUGUGCCUGAAAAAGUUGCUGAAAAAUGUGAGCAGAGGAGCUUUGUGUAAGCUAGAUAGGAGUGUGGCAGUGAUUCUACAGAAAAAUGAAUGUACAAGAAAGCGACGGAAGCAGCAGGUAACCAAUGCAUAGCCGGCUGUGGAGGGCCCAGGUAAAUCAGACCGCCUCGCGCGUCUACGAAACGGUAGCUGCCAGACGUCAGAUCUUGUUGCAUCGGACGGUGGCGAACCCGACUGAUUUGCUCGUGAAAUCAGCCGGAUGACGCCUAGUGCUGCCCUUUUCCAUUGCAUGUGGGGCAGGUUGCUGUUGUCAACUGUUGUCGCUGUCACGUUGGAAUUUGUGGCCUGACACGUCUUUCCUUCUUCGGUGCUUCUCCGUAUUUCAAUUGGUCGAUCCGUCCCUUUCUGUUCCUACCGCUGUUGGCCAGUCGUUUUGUGCGGCCGUCUAAUCUAGAGAGCUAGAUCUUUUACAGGUCAAAACCGACUCUUUGUCGAGCGGUGAAUUCGUGCAUGCAGCUGGGUAGGAUGUGGCACGGACGAGAUGUGCAUGCAUGCAGGGGUGUGCGUUGGUAUAUGCAUGAUGUAACCACGUAGUUUUCUCUCUAUUUCUCCAGAAGAAUCUAGCCAAAUCAUGUGCCGCCGAUUCGCUGCUUUAUGCGCCCAUAAAAGCCUCCCAACGUGAUCCCCUAAAUCCCGCACUCCCGACCUCCCAAUCCCAUCACCACCACCAUCUUCUCCCCGGUGCCCAGCCCCCGUCUUCCCUCCUCUACUUCCUCUUAUCGUGUGCAGCUCGCGAGUCUCAGCGAGUAAGGCCGCCGGAUACGCGGCCAGCCUUUGUGAACGCGGCCUCUGACGUUGUCUUCGCCAUGAUCGGCAACCUAGGCGACGUCCGCGCUAUCGUCGGCAGCGUUCUGGCGGCGGACCGCCCACAAGGUGCACGGAGUGAGGUGCGUGCAGAUCAUGGUGGCGGCCAUGAACACCGAUGGCGGACGGGCACGUAAUAUCCGGACGAUUGCUGCUAGCGGACCCCACCGACGCCAACGAUCUCCGGAAGCGAGCAACCGUCAUCGCUCUCCAUCUCCCCUCCACGUGGAGCCAUCAACGACAGCCUGUGAGGAGUGCGCGCGAAGGCCACACGCGGCAGGACUCCGUGCAGCGAUGUUGCGGUGGCUCCUAUACUCGCUACGGCCGUCCUCGUGGCCACCGCCGCAAAUCCAUACGUCGUGCUGUACACACCCAUGACCACCCCCGUCGGGUGUCGGCCGCGAGUUCUUCCGCUUUUGGCCAGGGCGGGGGAGACUACGGUGGAGGCAUGAGCAACGGUAGUAGGGGUAGAGGCUGCGGUGCCGGUGGAAGAGGAGGUGGCAACGGGAGUGAGGGUGUGGACUUGCUCUCCGUUUCCUGUUUCCAUGGCGGGCCGUACUCUGCGUGGUGCUCGGUACCCUGGCCGGCCGCUGCCAUUUUGUUCUUCAGUUUGUGGACACUCACCGUCUCCUGGCGCUGGCCGUCAUAUACGGGUGCUCUGUGAUUGGUUCGUCAUCUGCUGAUUCCGCUUCUUCUGGUACGAGCGAUCUGGCUUUCCUUGAUUUCAGUUCUGGUUGAUAUGAUUUUGAUCCUUUUUGCAGUUCUCUAUUUAUGUUUGGUUGUUCUUGCUAUUUGCAGGUCUUGUGGUCUCUUGCCUGAUUUGGGUCCUGGGUAUAACCAAGUUUGCAUGGAUGCAACAUGAGGGACAAAGUUGAAACUGUGUACUUUAUGAUAGACUUGGUACUCCAUCUUAAGUAAGCCUACAUAACACACUCGAUAACUUGUCUAGCGAUCCAGCUUUUCCGCUUACAGUCACUGUAAGCUGAUAGAUGUAUGACACGAUGUCCAGCGCGCGAUUUUGGCCGUCUGUCGCCGCCGGUACACAUCUCUCACCCAUCCUCUAUCUCCGUCCUCCCUGUUCUACAUCCCCUUCUGACAAAUGCUUCGCCAAAGCGGCUUUCCCGCCGUCUCCUUUCAGGAAAACGGUUGCACACCGUGGCGCGGCUGCCCGCAUUGGCGACGGUCUGUUAGGAUUCACCUGUGCGCCUCCUCUAUGGGUGUAUUAGCAUGCCCUAAUGCCAGUCCGCUGGAGGAUCACCUGAGCAUGAAAAAUAUCAUGUCAACGUCGAAAGUAGUUUGGUAUCAUGUAUCUUCAGCUUCUACUAUUAGGCUUGGUAUCCACCUUCAAAGAAGUGUUUGUGUUGUUUAUCGUAUGGAAGGAAAACCUCCCAAACUUAUCGUUUUAUUUCCCUUUUCAGUGUCAAUGUAUGUUUACCUUUCCUAAAUGGCAGGAAUAGAUUUCCUUUCGUAACUGCACAUAUUUGUUUCUUGGAGUGCACAAGAUUGUGUUAAAAAAAAGUGCACAAGAUUGUGUUAAAAAAAGUGCACAAGAUAUUUCUCUCUCUCUCUCUCUCUCUCACACACACACACACACACACACACGCACACACACACAGCGAGAGUAAAGUAAUUUUAAAGAUAUUAAGUUCUUGGAAUGAAAUUAGAAAAUAGAAAUCAUUCGCAAGAAAUAAGCGUGCACGUAGUUACAGCAAAGAGAUUCAAUGCUUUUGUAAACCAAAAUAUUAGAAACAUGCAUGUAAUCUUCCAAACAGAUUACAUGCUACGUAGUCAUGUCGUUGUAAUCAUUACCGUUGCAUGCAUGCAUGGCAUCAAUCAAAAAAGAAAACGAGUCGUAGGACGACACCGCUUAGUUUUUCUGCAAUCCAUUACCCAAUCUCCUCACUGUAUUGCUUAGAGAGAUACACUACUUUGAAGAAGCAGAGCUACGACCUGAUUACCUGAACCGUCUGGCCUCUGUACACAACAUGGCCGGUAGCCUCCCAUGUUUCUUCUUACUUCCACGUGGAGCCGAGCGUGUCGCCCGAAGAAAUAUUGUACAGAAAAUGCGUGUCAUUUGGCGAGCUGAAAGAUCUACAAUGAUGACUCAUCCACUUUUGUACCCACUAUAUAUAACCGUUCAUACGCUAGCAAGGAAAGUCACAGUUAACGCACAGUUAAACACGGUACAAUGGACGAAGCUUACUGUUUCCAGAGAGCAUCCUCUGCGAGAAAGCAAGUUAAGAACAAAGGGAAGCACCCAGCACUAAGUUGCUUAGAAGAUCAGCCCCAUUUCAAUCGCUUGAAUGCAAGCAGUUCAGUAAACCUCCACUCUUAUCCAAUAUAUUAUGGGACUGUCUAUUUGACAUUUGACUGUUUUUCAAUUCAAUGACAUUCAAAUUCCCCAACCAAUGAACAGAUGACACAUGCCCUUGUCCCAAACCCCCACCCCCCACCGGCCGCUGUUUAUUUUCUCAUUUCGGGUUAAACGAGUCGGGCAAAACCCUGACCCGGUUUCAACUAAACCGGCAUCACCACCAAACCUCGCUGCUCGGCAGCCUCGCUGGACUACAGCAAACAGCUAGCCAUCAACUUGCUACCCACAGAAACGCAGGCCCCUUGGGAACUCUCCAACCCCUCCUACAUAACAGCAGCAGAGAUCUCGCCUAACACACACCACAAAAGAAAGAAACAAAUCAGGCUGAUGGCCAUGGAAGAAGGGGGGAGAAGAACAAAGAGCAGAUCAAAAUCAGAUAAGGCAGGCAUCCAUGGGAGACGGGUGAACCUGGAGAGGAAGGUGAAGGUUUACCUAGAGAAAAGCAAGAAGGAACAACAGCAGCUUCAAUUCUUCACCCGCUUAGGCAAUUGGGGAAAUCCCAGGAAAAUCAACAGGCCAGGAACAAAAAACUACUGCUACCCCCUAGCACUUCAAUUCUUCACCCCCUUCACCUCUCUUACAAGGAAAAUCUGCAAAAACAAAAUGCGUCAGAGAAACUAGAUACAGGUUAAGAAACAAUCAGUAGACAAAAACUAGAUACUCUGGAAAUAAUUCAUUACUAGCAGUAGGCAGAACUUGGAUAGUUUUAUAAUUUACACUGCAAGAACACAUACUGCUUGAUUGAGUAUGGAAAGAACAAUAGCACGCCAAGAAUUACAGUGGAAAAUUCCCCUAGUAAUUACACUAAAAACUGGCUAAACAGACCAAGAAUUACAGUGCAAAAUCCCCUAGUAAUUACAUAGUAAUUUCCAGUGCAAAAUGCAUAGAAAUUACAAUGGAAAUUGCAGAAAUUACAGUGGAAAUUGCAUGGAAUUUUCAGUGGAAAAUUCCAUAGAAAUUUCAGUGUAUGAAUGUUGAUGCAUCAAAACUUAGACUGGAACAAACCUACUGUAUUUACACUGUGAAAAUACUACUGCAAAUUGUACUGUUACUGACACUUCUUUUCCAGAAAUGCAGAUUGGGAGCACGACAAGAACAAUAACAGAGGACGAUCUACUGUCAAUGUCAUAGAAGAUAUCAUCCUAAAUGUGAGUACCAAAAAAAGUGGAAAAACACUUAAAUGAGAAAUGAUCAGUACAAGAAAAGCAAAAACUCACACACAAACACAUUGCAGGAAUCAUUUUCAUAUACUGCGCUCCUACAGUCAAGACAUUAUAUACAAGGUAAGAAACUAACCCCUGUAAAUCUCAGCAGCCUGGAAGACGGUUUGAUUACUUAGCUUCCCCAUUUGCAAUUCAGUAAAGCUAUUUCAGUAUUACUAUUAAUUUAGUACUACUGUUACAUCAAGAACUCCAGUUUAAUGAACAUGUUGCAUACAGGUACAUUCAACAAAUGGUACAACACAACUAAGAGGGGAGGAGUCCAGUAACAACCCAUCAGUACAUUCUACAGUAAGAGAAGUGAAAUGUAGAAAAAAAAUCAUGAAUUCACACAAAAAAGAGAGAAACUUACGACUUUAGUAUUCUUGUGCAGACAUUUGGAGAACUGGAAAACGAAGCUACACGAAAUGAAGAAUGUGCAGCAGAACAGAACCCGUGGUGGCAUGCAGACCUGUUUGGCACCAUGAACUUGGAACAGGUGGGUUCAUGAAGACAAAAUUCAGUAAGAAGACACAUAUCAUAGAAGUUGAAAACUAGUAAGAAAUUUAUGACUGAAGCAAAAUGCUAAAAUGCAGGUGACUGAAGACGAUGACCCUCCAUGCUAAACAAGUUCACACACACCAGAAGAAAUAAAACAUAAUCAAUAGCAAUAAAGAAAAUGAAUAAUACACAAACAAAUACCUGCAAAUGAACUGUAGGACAAAAAGCCUUCAGUGGCCUCUUCCCGUAAGAGCGGUUAUUAUUCUAUCAAGCUCUGCAAACUGCUUGACUUUGUUACCUCUUCAUGCUAGUACACGAGGCUUGACAUCAGGGACAGAGUAGAGACCGAAAUUGAGAUGAUCAAGGAAAGAAACCUAUAACAACAAACACAAACGGAGUUAAAAAACAAAGAAAAAGACACUACACAAAAUAGAAUGAGCUACAUAUGGAAAAAACUUACAGCAAAGGCGUAAUGGCAGCCACCAAACAUCACAGAGCUUUUCGAAGCAACUUUAGUAGAAUCCUUGAAUUUCUUAAUACUAGACAACAACCACUGAUAAACAAAUUGCGACAGGUCAAGCUUGCAAACAGAGCGACAAUCCUUGAAGAUAUGUAAACCCAUUUGCAACCACUCAUAAACUAAACCUAUAAAUCACAGUGCUAAAAGCAUGAAUAUUACACUGCAAAUUAGGGCAAAAAUUACACUGUAAAAUACAUAUAAUAAGCAACACAGUAAAACUAGGGGUACACUGUAAAAAUUCAGAAGAAAGAAUAGGGGUACAGUGAAAAUUAGCAUGAGAGAUUACAUAACUGAAUCAAUGUAAAUACAUUGCAAAAAUCUGGGAAUAUACACUGUAGCUACAAUGUAAACCAUCGUAAUUCUAGGGGAAAUUACACUGGAAUCAGGGGGCAUAGUCAGGAAUUACAUAGCAGAAUUACACAGUAAAACUACGGCACUUAAACUGCAUUAAUGAAUUACACUGAAACUGCAUAAUGAAUUACACAGUAAUUCUAUAGUAAAUUACACAGUAAAAAUACGGCAUGAUUUACACAGUAAUUCUACAUGGAAUUACACUGGAACUGCAUGAUGAAUUACAAAAUAAUUUUAUAGUAAAUUACACUGAAACUACAUGAUGAAUUACACAGUAAAAAUGGGGCAAAAAUACACAGUAAAUACUAGUAAUUAUGUGAAAAAACACUGAAACUAUGGGCUGACUUACAUAGAAACUACCAUGCAAUUUGCAUAGUAAGUCUGAGGCAAAAAAUACUAGUAAUUACAGAGUGAAAAACAGGACCUCGCUCAAUACUACUACAACAGAGACACACUUGCACAUGAAAAGAAGAAAACAAAAAUGCAAGAAAGUACAUGAAGUACAGAGCUAAAAAGCAUGGAAAUCACACUAUAAAAAUGAGAGGUAAAUCAUCUGACAAAUACUGUGUAAGACCUACAAAUUUACAGUACUGAAGCAUACAAAUUACAGUGUAAAUGUGCAGUAUAUUACAGUGUAAGCCCUACAUCAAUUCAGAGGUAAAAAUCCACUAUACUCAGUCCAAAAAAUACUGUGUAAAGCAUACAACAUUUACAGUGCUGAAGCAUACAAAUUACAGUGUAAAUCUGCGGUAUAUUACAGUGUAAGCCCUACAACAAUUCAGAGGUAAAUCCACAUCUGAUUACAGUUCUGAAGCAUAUAAAUUGCAGUGUAAAUCUGGGGUAGAUACAGUGAUGAAGCAUAGAAAUUACACUGUAAUUCUGGGGUAUACUACAGUUGGUAAAUUACAGUGCAAUAUUAGGCAUAUUACAGUGGAAAACCGUCCUAUAUUAUAGUGUAAAUCAUAGUUAAAUUCCAUAGUAAUUCGUGGAAAAUAAGAUGCAUGACAAUUAACAUAAACAGAAACAUUUCAAUGGCAUCAGACUCUACUGGGAUGAUCUACUGGAAUAAAUAGAAACUAGAUUUGCAAUUUGCACACUGAAACUAUGUGGAUUACACAGUAAGACUCAUGCAAAAAUACACAGUAAUUCUAAUGUAUGACACUAAAACUGUGGGGAUACACAUCAACACUCGGCACAAGGAAAAAGAUACAGAACCUGCAUCACACACACAGUUACCAUGGCAUUAAGAAGAAGGAACCUAAGUACAUCUAAACCAACACUAAGAGCGAUUUAUCCACUCACAUGACAAAAGGGACCUGCAACAGAGGGCAUAAGAGGAAACCUAGAAACCAACACGGACAAAGGAGGCAACACCCAUCUACCAGCGAACAAACAAACCACCUACCAACGCAAAUCACAAACCCAAAACCACAAAAACUCCCAUCUCAAAACCCUAUAACUGAUCCAUACAUUUAUCUGAAUCACAGAAACUGAACACGUUGAACCUACCACGAGCAGAAGAGGAACAAAAAUGCGGACAACACGAAGUAGAUGAUGAACGACAGCGGGAGAACGCGUACCAAAACGAACCGCUAAAACUACAAGCACCUACCAUGAAUCUACAACAACACGGCCUCGGAUCACAACACACACCUACCACGAACCCUAACAAAAUCACAUCAGCAACCGACCCCUAGAUCUCGAAGCUACACACCGAGAAAUGAACAAAAUCACGCGCUCGAGAGAGAAAUUGAGAGACCAAC
rnacentral:lncRNA from 1 species